GGCUUCGUAGCUCAGUUGGUAGAGCGUGCGCGUACAAGGCGUAGGCGGCGUCCAUGCGUGGGUUUGAAUUCCACCGAAGGUA
rnacentral:tRNA from 1 species